UACGUAGGUGACAAGCGUUGUCCGGAUUUACUGGGCGUAAAGAGCUCGUAGGCGGCCGUUUGCGUCGGAUGUGAAAGCCCGGGGCUCAACCUCGGAACGGCAUUCGAUACGGGACGGCUAGAGACCGGGAGAGGAGAGUGGAAUAGCCAGUGUAGAGGUGAAAUUCGUAGAUAUUGGCUGGAACACCGGUGGCGAAAGCGGCUCUCUGGACCGUUGUUGACGCUGAGGUGCGAAAGCGUGGGGAGCAAACAGG
rnacentral:rRNA from 1 species